rnacentral:tRNA from 1 species
GAUGAAGUGCUACCUUCCAGGAACA